GAUGGAGGGGGAUAACUAGUGAAAACGGUCUCUAACACCGCAUAACCUCACAACACCAAAGAGGGGGACCUUCGGGCCUCUUGCCAUCAGAUGUGCCCAUAUGGUUUUAUCUAAUUGUGGGGUAACGGCUCCUCUACGCCACUCCCUAUCUGGUCUGAGAGGAUGACCCCCCACACUGGAACUGACACACGCUCCACACUCCUACGGGAGGCAGCAGGGGAGAAUAUUGCACAGUGGGCGCAACCCUGAUGCCCCCGUGCCGCGUGUAUGAAAAAGGCCUUCGGUUUGUAAAGUUUUCCGCGGGGAAGAAGGCGAUGGGGUUAAUAACCUUGUAUAUUGACUUUACCCGCAAAAAAAACACCGGCUAACUCCGUGCCAACAGCCGCGAUAAUACAGAGGGUGCACGCUUUACUCAGAAUUACUGGGCGUAAAGCGCACGCGCGGCUCUUCAAGUCAGAUGUAAAAUCCCCGGUCUCAACCUGGGAACUGCAUUCGAAACGCAGGCUAGACUCUUGUACAGGGGGGUAAAAUUCCGGGUGUCGCGGUGAAGUGCAUAAUAUCGGGAAUAAUACCUGGCGAAGGGGCCCCCCAAAAAAACAGACUCUCAUGUGCAAAAAGCUGGAGCACAAACAAUUAUAAUAUACCCCUGAUUCUCCACGCCGAAGACGAUCUCUAUUUGGAGGGUUGUGCCCCUGGAGGCGUCUCCUCCCUGAGCACAACGCUUUAAGUCACACCCCCCCGCGGGAUAAG
rnacentral:rRNA from 1 species